UCAGGGCCGGAUGUGGAGAAGGAAUCUUACAGUUCAUAAACAAGAUCAUAAAAGAACAACUUGCUUUGUUACCACUUCUACUGAGGCUGUGAAACACGAGUUACUGAAAAUACUACACUGCAGCUUGUGUCCAUGAGGCUCAGGAGAAUGAGAUGCUGUGCUGCAAACAACUCAGAAGCAGGUACAGAAGUUUGUAUUGAAACAAGAAGCAAACCUCUCCCAGAGCAGGAAAGGAGAAGAAGGAGGGGAGAAAAUGAGCUGCCUCAGUAAUAUACCUCCUCUGACAAAGCUGAAAGUGCCUGGCUAUUUCUCAGCAAAUGAAAAAAAGUCUAAAGGAAUGAGGACUUGUGUGGCCUCCCCCAACCAAAAAAAUAAAAAAAGAGGAAAUUGUCAUAAGAAUGGCUGAAUCAAAUGACCAUGAGACAGCUGUGUCCAAAUUUCUAUGUGGUAUUUAUAUAGUGAAUACAAAUGAGAAAUCUGAUUUGAAGGUGUGGAGAGCUCUGCUCCACUUAUGCAUGAAAGUCUCUUAUGAAAGUGUAUGCAAAAUUCAGAUGUGUGCCACUGGUUUUGGAGCUACAGAACAUGCAAUUUCCACCCCCGUGAUAAAUAUUCAUACCACUUAAUUGCACACAGAUAAUGACAUCUCCAAGUAUUGCUGCAGCAUCAUGUCUGCUUUCCUUUCUUAGUUGUUUCCUCAGAGGAUCAGUUCUGCUCUGCUUAGGACCAAAACCUGAGAGCAUUCCCACGGGGUUGUGCUGACAACACAGACAGUGGGGUAGUCACAAGUCUCUGGAAUAAGCUUUUCAUUAAGGUUCUUUAUCCUACAAAACAACCAAAAAGCAGUUGAGGUAGUACAGAGUUCACAGAGGCUAGUUUAUCAGGCUCCUAAGCAGACUAGCCAUGCAUCUAUAGCCUGUUUGUAUGACUCUCUCCACAAGUGCAGACAUAGCUUGCAAGGUCACAGAGAAUUCAGAAGUACAGGAACAGCAAAAGAGUAUGAAAAUUACAAAUAUAUUGUCAUGCUUAACAGGUUACAGUUGCUUUCAAACAGAAGGUAUCUCAAAGUUACCCACACCUUUUGCAAAUAAGCUCUUAAGGUGAAGUUUCAUUCAUUUCCAGUGAGGCUAGGGAGAGUAGACCAGUGUAACACUAGUGUGUGCAGGAGGGUCUUUCUAGGGCCUCACAGAUUUUAUCUAUAUUGGCAAGUAAUUCUGUGCAAUAGGAAGAGAUCAAUAAAUCAAAGCUUCCCCUUGUUCCUAGUUUAAUACAUUGCAAACCAAAUCCAAGUACAAGAAAGGAGCAACCAGGAGAUCUGUGCAGCAAUACAUUGCUGUUCCAAGCCAAGCUGUUGAUAUCAGCAUGGCCACACUUACUCUUACAGAGGACCUUAGAAAAUUAGAUCUUCAAAGUUUUACCUUAAAGGAGAUGAUAUGGAAAAGUCAUUCUUACCACUGACAAACCUAAACAUAAAACUCUGCUUUUCCACACAUCUUUCCCUUGCAGGUUUCAGUUCUGUCAGAGCACACAGCAUGUCAGACAAUUUUUGUUGUUAUUGUUGUUAAUCAUAUAAUACAGUCAGCUUUGUGGCAGGUAAAUGAAAUUUAGGCAUCUUUCUAUCUCCCCGUCAGUAUUUGGCCAUAAGAUUCUACAUUAAAUUGUUCUUUGCUCCAAAGCUCGCCCAGAGCAACAGCACUCCAACUUCACACAAGAGCUGAGUGAAGCUCUUUGUUUUACAGCAGUUACAAUCAAACUGUUGUUCUUCGUGCUUUAAUGGAGAUCCUAGAAAAGGAGAUUUGAAAAAGAGGGUUAAGAACAGGUUUAUAAAACUUAAGUAUGUACCUAAUCUGUCUGGGAAAAUUCAUAAUUCACUUUGCACAUUUUUGAAGCUGUCUCCAACCUUAAUAUCACAACAUCAUGCAAAGUCUGGAAGUAUGUGAUUAAUAGAUUUACCUAAUUAAAAACAAGCAAACAAAACAACAAACAAAAGUAAGUUUAUGUCUAAAACUGUCUGUUGGUGUGCCAAAUAUAUGCACAAAUAUAUACUGUAUUUUGUGUGUAUUUGUACAUUUAUAUGAAAACACACAUACAUAUAUAGAACUAUGUGUACAAUAAUUAAUAAAGCAAUGUUUCUUAU
rnacentral:lncRNA from 7 species